rnacentral:misc_RNA from 1 species
AAAGAAAAAGAAAAAUAAAAAGAACCCUUAUUUGUGUUGAUGUUAUAGGAAAAAAAUGUAACUCUUUUGGUAGAUAUCCUGAUGCCUGUUUUGGAUUUUUCAAUUCAAGUUUACAACUUGUUUUCCUGUAUGUUUAUGUGGAAAAGGGGGAAAAAAAUAAUUACAAGUGUUUUCUCAUCCGCAACACUUCUAAUCACAACCUCUGCUUUUCCUCCACCU